AUUACUGCAGCAACGAAGCUUUCAGCUUCCAGGGAGAAGAGAAACGAGAAAUAUCCCGUAACCCUAACGUAAAUUUCCGAUCCCCGUAACUUCUCCGUCCGAGCUCCAAUCGCCGCACCGUUUGCGGCCACGCGUUCACCGCGUCGAGCUCUACAUUUCUAUCGGAACAAUUUCAUAGGAUUCAAUUAGCUUGAGAGAAACGUUCACUCUUGCUUAUGUGAAGCUUGGGUAAGGUUGAAAAUAAAUAAUUGGAACUUGAAAUUGUGGAUGUUGGAACUUGGAGGAAGCGGA